rnacentral:lncRNA from 1 species
UACACUUUAAUUGUUUAUAUUUUCACAGCAUUGCGGAAAACAUAGUUAUCACAAUUCCUUUAAAAACUAGAUUCUAACGACCUUCAUUUAUUAUGAACAUUAUAGGAAUCUGUUACGUACAAUCUGAUUUUGGAGUCAAGCCAGAAUGCUUUGAAUGCUACCCUCAUUUUAUUAGCAUAAACCCCUGGCAUCAUGAGAGGUGUUCCUUACAAUCUGAUAGAAAAUAAAAAGCAAAUUUUAUGGCAACAUUCUUUGGCAAACUUAUUUCCAUUUUAAUAUUUUUCUAUGCAAAGGAUUUUGAAGGAAAAUGUUUAAGGUGAUGUUUUAGUAGCGAAUUUGAAAUGAUUUGUUUUUUUUUCAGAAACUUGGGGCUAUCAAGCGAAAUCAAAAGAAAACUUAGAAUAUUUUAAAGAGGUUUUGAGUUCAAUUCGACAUCCUGAGAAUAAAAAACAAUAUCAAGAAUUGCGAGCAAAAGUUGAAGAACUAAGUCUGA